CUAAAACCCUAAAUCCUAAACCUUAAAUCCUAAAUCCUAAAUCCUUAAUCCCAACCCCUAAACCCUUAACCCCAAAUCCUAAACCCCAAACUCUAGACCCUAAAAUCCUUGACCCUAAAUCCUAAAACCCUAAUCACUAAACCCUAAACCCUAUACCCCAAACAAUAAAACCCAAUCCUAAAUCCUAAACCCUAAAUCCCUAAACCCUA
rnacentral:lncRNA from 1 species